UCCGGCUUAUCACCGGCAGUCCCCUUAGAGUGCCCAACUAAAUGAUGGCAACUAAGGGCGAGGGUUGCGCUCGUUGCGGGACUUAACCCAACACCUCACGGCACGAGCUGACGACAGCCAUGCAGCAUCUGUGCACGCUCCCUUGCGGGUCCUUCCCCUUUCGGGGUCGUACCACGUGCAUGUCAAGCCCAGGUAAGGUUCUUCGCGUUGCAUCGAAUUAAACCACAUGCUCCACCGCUUGUGCGGGUCCCCGUCAAUUCCUUUGAGUUUUAAUCUUGCGACCGUACUCCCCAGGCGGUCUACUUCUCGCGUUAGCUGCGUUACUAAGGGAUUUAACUCCCCCAACAACUAGUAGACAUCGUUUAGGGCGUGGACUAC
rnacentral:misc_RNA from 1 species